rnacentral:rRNA from 1 species
UACGGGGGGAGCAAACGUUGUUCGGAAUUACUGGGCGUAAAGGGCGUGCAGGCGGCCUUGUAAGAGGGAUGUGAAAUGCCCUGGCUCAACCAGGGAACUGCAUUCCAGACUGCAAGGCUUGAGUAUAGGAGAGGAUGGGGGAAUUCCCGGUGUAGCGGUGAAAUGCAUUGAUAUCGGGAGGAACACCAGUGGCGAAGGCGCCCAUCUGGCCUAAUACUGACGCUCAGGCGCGAAAGCUAGGGGAGCAAACAGG